GUAAUACUUUGGUAACACCUAUGCUAAGAUUGGAAUGAUAUAGAGAAGAUUAGCAUGGCCUCUGCACAAGGACGACACACAAAUUUGUGAAGCAUUCCAUAUUCUU
ensembl:snRNA U6 U6 spliceosomal RNA